GGAAAAAAUUGCUCUUUCUCGACCUGGUCUUGACGGAAUUGGGAAAGGAACACUUUAAUGAAACCGAUAUCGGAUAUGAAGUCAAUGCAUUUUUAGGCACUAGUCAAACGACGGCUUUGGCUUUUACAUAGUUCCUUUACUUGAUCGCGAAGAAUUGAAAAUUACCUGAGGGAUCGCUCAGCGAUCCCCAACGGUAAUUAGGAUUAUAUAUUGAAAUAACGGAUGAGACCUUAAGCACCUACGGAUGAUUCCUUUACAACAACACAAUUUAUGAAAGACUGGAUUGAAUAUGAACAACUAAGGCAAAAUGCAAUUCAUUAUAAAUAGAAUUCGUCAAUAUUUA